rnacentral:rRNA from 1 species
AACGUAGGACACGAGCGUUAUCCGGAGUUACUGGGCGUAAAGGGCGAGUAGGUGGUGCGAUAAGACUGGUGUGAAAAGCCCUUCGGCUUAACCGAGGGAGGACACUGGUGACUGUCGGACUUGAGGCAGAUAGGAGGGGUGUAGAAUUCCGGGUGUAGUGGUGAAAUGCGUAGAGAUCCGGAGGAAUACCAGAGGCGAAGGGCGGCACCCUGGGUCUGACCUGACACUGAUCCGCGGACAGCAUGGGGAGCGAACGGG